AUGAUUUUCUAUUGCUAUUUUAAUGACACUCCACAGAUCAGUGAUCCAGCACUGAUAGAUGUGCCAUGUCCCAGACUCUACCCAGGCUGGGUUAGAAUCCUCCAUAAUCCUAUCGAUGAUAUAGACAAUCUCCAUCCGAGCGGCCACCUAAACUUCCCUGAUGUCACGGCAACCUACUUUGAAGAGAAUAUUGAGCGUGUAAAAGGCAACAAACAUAUUACAACUUUUCGGUAUUUGAACCCAGCUCUGCCUCUUUCCAUUUGUGAGACCUCAUUAGCUUCAGUGCACUUACCUGUUAAAUGAGAAUAAUGAUAUCAUCUUGCAAGGUGAGUAUGAGUAUUAAGAGCAAACAAAUGUAAAGAUUUUAGUUCAUGGUCUGAUAUAGUAGUUGUUCAAUAAAACAAGAAAUUUUACCA
rnacentral:lncRNA from 1 species